UCCGUAGGUGAACCUGCGGAGGGAUCAUUACAGAGUUGCAAAACUCCCUAAACCAUUGUGAACGUUACCUUCAAACCGUUGCUUCGGCGGGCGGCCCGGGUCCGCCCGGUGCCCCCUGGCCCCCUAGCGGGGCGCCCGCCGGAGGAAACCCAACUCUUGAUUAUUAUGGCCUCUCUGAGUCUUCUGUACUGAAUAAGUCAAAACUUUCAACAACGGAUCUCUUGGUUCUGGCAUCGAUGAAGAACGCAGCGAAAUGCGAUAAGUAAUGUGAAUUGCAGAAUUCAGUGAAUCAUCGAAUCUUUGAACGCACAUUGCGCCCGCCAGUAUUCUGGCGGGCAUGCCUGUUCGAGCGUCAUUUCAACCAUCAAGCCCCAGGCUUGUGUUGGGGACCUGCGGCUGCCGCAGGCCCUGAAAACCAGUGGCGGGCUCGCUGUCACACCGGGCGUAGUAGAUUUUAUCUCGCUCAGGGCGUGCUGCGGGUUCCGGCCGUUAAAAGCCUUUUUUACCCAAGGUUGACCUCGGAUCAGGUAGGAAUACCCGCUGAACUUAAGCAUAUCAAUAAGCGGAGGAA
rnacentral:rRNA from 1 species